UCGCCCUGCUACCUACACCCACGAGCGCCACUGGCAAGGUCGCUCGUUUCCUAGCGGGGGGGGGGGCGCUGCCUCUUCAGCACUUACAGAAAAAUACUCCAUUGUUGUCUGAAGCCUGAUAACUGCUCCCUUCCCCUCUCCUCCCGCCUGAAGCUGUCGAACCGCUCUGCGAGGCGCAGCAGAGGGGAUGCCGAGGUUGUGCUCUCGGGGGGUUGCUUCGUCCUCGCAGGUGGGGCCGAGAGCAGUCACAUUAACCUCCCCCAAAGAAUAAUCAGCCCUCCACCUCUCUCGACUGUGUGUGAUCCAGGUCAAAGCUGUCUCGUGAUUUCGAAAUAGACAUUUUGGUGACAGGAUUAACCUGAAGAAGUCACCUUUAAAACGGCCGAGAGAGUCUGAAACACAUGGAAAUUGUACUGCCAAAGAUCAUAUGAAGUCUCUUUAGCUUUUAAUU